rnacentral:rRNA from 1 species
GACGAACGCUGGCGGCGUGCCUAAUACAUGCAAGUCGAACGCAGUGGGGACGGGUGAGUAACACUUGGUUAACCUCCCAUCAGAGGGGAUAACACUUGGAAACAGGUGCUAAACUGAUACUGAUGGAUGGACCCGCGGUGCAGUAGCUAGUUGGUGAGGUAACGGCUCACCAAGGCCACGAUGCAUAGCAGAACUGAGAGGGGGAUCGGCCACACUGGGAAUGAGACACGGCCCAGACUCCUACGGGAGGCAGCAGUAGGGAAUCUUCGGCAAUGGACGAAAGUCUGACCGAGCAACGCCGCGGGAGUGAAGAAGGUGUUCGGAUCGUAAAACGCUGUUGUUAGAGAAGCGGUAUCUAACCAGAAAGCCACGGCUAACUACGUGCCAGCCGCCGCGGUAAUAC